CGGAGGGUGCAAGCGUUAUCCGGAUUCACUGGGUUUAAAGGGUGCGUAGGUGGGCAAGUAAGUCAGUGGUGAAAUCUCCGGGCUUAACCCGGAAACUGCCAUUGAUACUAUUUGUCUUGAAUACUGUGGGGGUCAGCGGAAUAUGUCAUGUAGCGGUGAAAUGCUUAGAUAUGACAUAGAACACCAAUUGCGAAGGCAGCUGGCUACACAAAUAUUGACACUGAGGCACGAAAGCGUGGGGAUCAAACAGGAUUAGAUACCCUGGUAGUCCACGCCCUAAACUAUGGAUACUCGACAUUUGCGAUAAACUGCAAGUGUCUGAGCGAAAGCAUUAAGCAUCCCACCUGGGAAGUACGAUCGCAAGAUUG
rnacentral:rRNA from 1 species